AUUUAUUCAUUUCUUGAGUUUGCAGUAUUUCUUUCCAUGUUUCAAGGAGUUCAUAGACUCUGUGGUACUGAUGUGGAGAACGGACUGCUGGCUCACCAUACAGAUGUCGAUCAUCCUGGGAUCUAGCAGCCUCCACCAGCACUGAUGGGGAAACUGAGGCCUGGAGAGGCAAUCAGCUGGGCCAUCGUAUGUGGGGAAUUUUCUGCUGUGAAUUUGGACUUCAGAGCCAAGUCUGUCUUCUCAGGCUACUGGAGAGCAGAAGCCUGGAAAUGAGCCAGUCUCUCAGCAGCUUUGUGUGGCAGAAACGAGGCUCCACGUUCAUGAAGCCACUUGGUCCCAAGUGCCUGACUCUUGCAAGUUUCCUUCACACCUCUAGAACAUUGUGGAAGCGGGGAGGGAAAAAGAGAGGAGAGGUGGAGAAUGCAGAGGAGUACUGUGGAAAGCUCUUCUAGGGAUAUAAUAUGACUGUAACAUGGUCUGGCAGCUCUGGUUAUCUGCAUGAGACCGACCCAAGAUGAAGCCAUCAACAUUGCGCCAUAGACAAAGAGGGGCUCACGAUGUUCCACCCCUGUCUGAGGAGCAAGGGGUAGUGAACCAUUGGUAGAAGAGGAGGAGUCACUUUCUUCAGUGCUGUAGCCACUGUGGAGUUGCCCAUGUUCCAGUCAACAGCAUCCACCACAAACCAGGCUCAUGAAAACAACCCUAAUUAAAUGCAGUGUGGCAUAAAAUAUUACAAACAAAAAGUGCAAACCAACUAAAAGACGUGAAAACAGGAGGGAUGGCUUGUUUGAAAAAAGAAGGAAUUCAGUGGAAGUGGAAGGGGACAGCAAAUAAUUCUUGGUGAACAGGAUUAUAUAUAUAUAUCAUGAAGACACUCGAAGGAAAUGCAUCAGACUUGACCCACUGUGGAGGACCAUUUUAAGGCAGCUGCUGAUAAAAGGCAUUAUGGAGACAACUCUGACAGGCAUGACUAGAUGCAGUUGUUACUACAGUAUGCACAGAAAACUCAUCACAAGGAGAGCAAGAAAAGCAUGCCAAAAUGUGAGAAAAGGCGAUGGACAGAAGAGAAAAACAAAUGGCAAGAUUUCAAGUUGUCACCGUGUGUGUGUGUCAAAGGACAACUUUGUGGAAUCUUAUUCUACAUACACAUGGACCCAGCAAUGAACUCCGCGGACAGACGCUUAUGACAAGCACCCUCACCUGCUGAGCCAUCCCGCUGGUCCAGCAGCACACAAUUUUAAUAAGAGAAAAUGCCUUAAGGGCCAGGUGCGGUGGUGUUCCAAUGCAAUCCUAUCAUUUGGGAGGCAGAGGCAGGAGGAUGACAACUUUGAGGCCAGCCUGGGUUACAUAGGGAAUCCUUGUUUCAAGAAACACACACACGCAUGCACAUACAGGGAGAGGGAGAGGAUUAAGAGGGAGCAGAAAGGAGGAGGGAGACACAGAGAGACACACACUGAGAGAGACUGAGAGAUAAAUUAAAUUGGUAAGCUACCUAGCUGGCCUAACUCUGUCAAGCAAGUUCAUUGUGCUGACUAAUCUUCUGUCAACUUGACACACAAACUGGAGUUAUCUGAGAAGAGGGAGCCUGAAUUGAGAAGAUGCCUCCAUAAGAUCAGGAUGUAAGGCAUUCUUUUAGUUAGUGACUGAUGAGGGCACCCAGCCCAUUGUGGGUGGUGGUGCCAUCCCUGGGUCAGUGGGCUUGGGUUUUAUAAGAAAGCAGGCUGAGCAAGCCCUGAGGUGCAAGCCAGUAAGCAGCACCCCUCCAUGGCCUCUGCAUCAGCUCCUGCCUCCAGGUUUCUGCUCUGUUUGAGUUCCUGUCCUGACUU